rnacentral:rRNA from 1 species
UACGUAGGUGGCGAGCGUUGUCCGGAUUUACUGGGCGUAAAGAGCGCGCAGGCGGCUGGUCAAGUCCGAUGUGAAAGCUCCCGGCUUAACUGGGAAAUUGCAUCGGAAACUGAUCGGCUGGAAGGUGGGAGAGGGUAGCGGAAUUCCCGGUGUAGUGGUGAAAUGCGUAGAUAUCGGGAGGAACACCAGUGGCGAAAGCGGCUUCCUGGUCCAGCACCGACGUUCAGGCACGAAAGCGUGGGGAGCAAACAGG